AUUGAACGCUAGCGGGAUGCUUUACACAUGCAAGUCGAACGAGUGGCGGACGGGUGAGUAAUAUAUCGGAACGUGCCCAGUAGCGGGGGAUAACUACUCGAAAGAGUGGCUAAUAACGCAUACUAUUGGAGCGGCCGAUAUCGGCUUAGCUAGUUGGUGGGGUAAAGGCUCACAAAGGCGACGAUCCGUAGCUGGUUUGAGAGGACGACCAGCCACACUGGGACUGGGAAACGGCCCGACCUCCUACGGGAGGCAGCAGUGGGAAAUUUUGGAAAAUGGGGGAAGCCCUGAUCCAGCCAUCCCGCGUGUAUGAGAAGGCCUUCGGGUUGUAAGGUACUUUUGGCGGGGAAGCGGUAUCUGCAGAAUAAGCACCGGCUAACUACGUGCCAGCAGCCGCGGUAAUUC
rnacentral:rRNA from 1 species